UGAUUCAGAAUAAAACGUAUCGGUUGA
rnacentral:sRNA from 1 species